rnacentral:rRNA from 1 species
GUGGGGAAUAUUGGACAAUGGGCGAAAGCCUGAUCCAGCCAUGCCGCGUGUGUGAAGAAGGUCUUCGGAUUGUAAAGCACUUUAAGUUGGGAGGAAGGGUAGUAACCUAAUACGUUGCUACUUUGACGUUACCGACAGAAUAAGCACCGGCUAACUUCGUGCCAGCAGCCGCGGUAAUACGAAGGGUGCAAGCGUUAAUCGGAAUUACUGGGCGUAAAGCGCGCGUAGGUGGUUCAGUAAGUUGGAAGUGAAAUCCCCGGGCUCAACCUGGGAACUGCUUUCAAAACUGCUGAGCUAGAGUACGGUAGAGGGUGGUGGAAUUUCCUGUGUAGCGGUGAAAUGCGUAGAUAUAGGAAGGAACACCAGUGGCGAAGGCGACUACCUGGACUGAUACUGACACUGAGGUGCGAAAGCGUGGGGAGCAAACAGGAUUAGAAACCCUUGUAGUCC